UUUAUGGGUUAAUACUGUAAAUUGUAUAUGAACAAAAGCCAUGUAGGUUAUCCGAUAAUGGUCAUGUGAUUAGCAGAUGUGAAAAUUAGUAGGUUUUCAAGAUGGCGUAUUCAGUUGGUUGAUUGCAUUUUAGCCGGUUGAGAGUUCAGUUUUCAGUGUAUUUCUCCACAGUCAUUGAUUGAACAACAACGAUAGAAAGAUAAAGGAAAUCCUUAGGAUACCCAAGACUUCCGCAAGCCGCAGACGAUGGAUUAUGGCAG
rnacentral:lncRNA from 1 species